rnacentral:misc_RNA from 1 species
GAUGAAGAACGUAGCGAAAUGCGAUACUUGGUGUGAAUUGCAGAAUCCCGUGAACCAUCGAGUCUUUGAACGCAAGUUGCGCCUCAAGCCAUUAGGUUGAGGGCACGUCUGCCUGGGCGACACAUAUCGUUGCCUGAUGCCAGUUUCCUCGUGAUGGGUGACUGUGCAGGGCGAAUGAUGGCUUCCCGUGAGCAUUGUUGCCUCAUGGUUGGUUGAAAAUUGAGUCCUUGGUAGGGAGCGCCGUGAUAGAUGGUGGUUGAGUGACGAACGAGACCCAAUCAUGUGAGACCCCUACCGAAUUUGGCCUUCAUGACCCACAUGCGUCUUUGGAACGCUCAUGACGAGACCUCAGGUCAGGCGGGGCUACCCGCUGAGUUUAAGCAUAUCAAUAAGCGGAGGA